rnacentral:misc_RNA from 1 species
UUUACAUCUGCCCAGCGGACUGACUCUCCGCUUUAUACGUUACUGCUUGGUUGUGUGCGUGUAUGGGCAUACACACACACGCAUAAACGCACGUGUAGAUAAGUAUGCUUCCCUUCCUUCGCCAGCGCGUGUGUGUGCGCGAGGGAUGGAGUCGCAUCGAGGCCAUUAAGCGAGUCUGCACAUUCGUCUCCGUCGAUCUGACUUCUGGAGGCGGUGUGUGUGUGUGUGUGCGGUGCGGUCGUGCCGCUUUUACACACGGGGGCCAAAUGCCGACAGGAGCAGAGUGCGUCUUUUCCAUGCGAGAGCAUACAUACGCGUAUACCGCCUGUGCUUGUGCGUCCUGACGAGAGUGCGGAGCUGCAUGCCCGUUCAGCUUCCUGCUUCACCGGGUGGAGAGGCGGAAGGGGGUUUGGAUGGGCGGGGGGACUUCCUCUGGAGACGCGGGCAGUGAACGUAGCGAGAGAGAAGGGACCAUGAGGUUAGUGGGGGGGGGCUUCUCACAGACUAUCACUACGAGAAGCAGCGCUGAUGGGCUGAAGGAGGAUCUCGCCUGCGGCGGACUGCCCAAAGAAGAAAGAGACGUGAUCAUCCACUCACCGCGUCGCCCACCGUCAUGCCCCGAGAACGGUGUGCGAGGAUGGAUACAAUGAAGCCAGUGACCGUGUGCCCCGCAGGGACGGGCGCGCACUCGCUUGCCGGCUUCGGCAGCAAAGCAAGACAAAAAAGUUAAGGAGGAGUAGAGGGCGGGGGGGGGUCCGCCGUCGCAGCACUGACUCUCCAAGGGCGUGCUUAACAGACGUAUGUCUGUAUGCGUACAUGCGUGCCGCCUAGGCUGCAUUCUCUCUCCUCGUGGUUGCUCGCACUCACCCCCUCUCUCGCUCUGCCACCCGAGCACACAUGAGUACCAAUUACGGACAG